CCAGGUGGGAUGGAGCUGGAUGGCAUGAGAUUUCAUCAUGCUACUUUGGCAUGCAAUUUAAAACUUAUGAAUAUUUCUGGAAUUUUCUUUUUAAUAUUUUCAGAUUGUUACCAGUGGAAGGUAUCCAGGUUCUUGGUGUUUUGAACAAAGAACUGGACAAAACACACAAACAAAGCAAGGAAAGAAUGAAGCAACAAAAGCAGAGAUUUACUGAAAACAAAAGUACAUGCCACAGGGUGGGAACCACCUUAGCAUAGGGGCUCAAGAGCCUCCUUACAGGAUUUUCUAGGGUUUAAAUACCCUCUAGAGGUUUCCCAUUGGUUACUUGGUGUAUACCUUAUGUAAAUGAAGUACUAGCCCACAAUCAGUCUGAUUGGUUGUGAAAAACACCCAAUUAGAGGCUGAAGCGAAGUUACAAAGUUACACUCCUACACAAAUAUCUGAUUGGUUGCAGAAAGCUACCAAGCAGAGAUACUUUCAAUUUUCUAUCUGCCACGCAGAAAAAAAAGAGGGGUUUGCCAAGGGAGUAGCUUCGGGUCCUUUUGUUACUUAGGUGUGGGAAGUUGGGGUUUUCCUUUUGAUUUAGCUCUAGGAAGCCAGCAUGAAUCGGCCUUAGGUUCCCUGCCUCCAGACCCUAUUCUCCUGCCUCAAGAUCAUGUUUAACCCUUGGUAACUGAAACUGCCUAUUGCAUAUAAGAAAGAACUACUGUAUUUUAAUUAUAUUAACUCCUCUAAAUUAUUUUGGUCUUAAGCUAGAAUAACUUUUAUGGAGAAAAAUAUCAAUAAUUGGUCACUGAAAAAAAUAGAAGGGAAAAUAUUCAUCUGAAGGGUCAGUUCACUGACACUACUAUUUAAUAUGCAUUUUUAGCCAGAUUUAAUAGUCAUGAGAAAAUCAUCCCUGACAUCCAGGGACUGACCUGACACAGCUACACCCCAGUGUUGGGAGAUAGCUUGACAUUCACAACUAGGCUAUGAUUUUCCUAACACCAACUAAUCAGACAGGGUCACUCUGUGACUGUGGUGAAGCAAGGCAAAAAAAAAAAAAAGACCAGUUUAUAAUUUUGUCUAAGCAGAGACAAAAACAAUGCGACUGUGCAAACCACAAAACAUUAGCUUUUAUUAUUAAUAAUUUUACCCAGUAGUCUGGUAACAUUGAUAUUGGCCAGUCAGGUUGGUAAGAUAAUCCAAACAUUUACCUAUGCAGAACAGACUAAGACAAAAAUAAAGUAGGCACAUAAUAAAUUUCAGCAUAAAGACCAUAUAUGUAUAUUAUCUAGUACAGGAAGCCCACUACUAUUUAGUCCUACUUCACAGAUUUGAUUCUUAGUUAACUACUUAAUUAGAUGCCUUACCAAAGAAAAUUACAAGCUGUCUUGGCAUGUAUUUUGAAAUUUAAAAUAAUGUGAGCUUUUUUUAAGUAACUACUCUUGGGGCUUAAAACACAAUUGCAUACGGUGUCUGAAAUGGAUUUGGCUCCUCUUCUUACACUGUCAGUAAUUAACUGAAAAAAUUGAUAAAUAUUAUGUAAUUAUCAGUUAAUUACUGUUAACCCAGGCAAACAAGUUAAUUUCACAUAAAACAUGAAAUCAGGCCGGGCGCGGUAGCUCACGCCAUUAAACCCAGCACUUUGGGAGGCCGAGGUGGGUGGAUCCCCUGAGGUCAGGAGUUCGAGACCAGCCGGGCCAACAUGGCAAAACCCCGUCUCUACUAAAAAUAUAAAAAUUAGCCGGGCGUGGUUGUGGCGCCUGUAAUCCCAGCUACUCCGGAGGCUGGAGCAGGAGAAUCGCUUAGAACCUGGGAGGCGGUGGUUGCAGUGAGCAGAGAUCGUGCCACUGCACUCCAGCCUAGGCAACAGAGAGAGGCACUGCCACAAAAAAAAAAAAAAAAAAAGAAAAGAAAUCCGCCACGAUUCAGAUUUUUAAUGCUAACAAGGCUUUAUAAAUGCACACACUUUAAAUAUAAGGAGUGUGAGGACAGAUAUUUCCACAAUCUAAGUGCUGUUAUGACAAUAAUUACGAGAGCUCAGUAAUAGAAACUAUGUUUAACUUUACCUCGCUAGCAGCCAGGAGUCUAGCACAUUAUAGGUACUAAACAACAUUGUUUAGUACCUAUAAUGUGGUUUCCGAGAAGCAGCGCAAACACAGCCGGCCACGAUGCCAGCAGUGCCUGCCCACGUGAGCUAGGCGACGUCCUCUUAAGCGGCUGCGGCGCAUGCCCACAGCAGGGGAGGCGUUAGAGGCGCGGGCGGGCGCCGUGAGGCGCGGGGCUUUGCUCCUGGGUUCUCGGCGUUGGCCAGCUGGACCUGACCCUAGGGCGGCUUGCGCAGCUGUCGGGACGUGACUACGUUCAGCCGCGUCGGGCGUGCUUCCCAGACUUGCCCAAGUUCGGGUGCCCUAGCUGCCCCUUUGCAACCGCUGGCCUACCCCGCCCGCGCGCGAGAAGGUUGCGACGGGAGGUGAGUGGAGCUCGCCAGCGCCGGGACCGCGGAUUGGCUGCCUCGGCUUCCUCUUUUCCCCGUGAGCUCCGGCGUGAGGCGCUGAAGCUGCCGGCAGCCGGGAGGCCGCCCACACCGUCGGCCGGGUUGCGCUUUGCUUUUGCGGUGAGGCGUUGACCACGCCCAUGUGAAUUGGAGCUCUCCGCCAGCAGGAAUUUCCGGAAGGAGUUUGAAUUUUUGUGAUUUUUUUGCUUGUUUGGUCGGUGGAAUAUGUUGGGAUUUAUGUCUGCCUCUGAACAAGUGUUUUGCUCACAUCGUAAAUGACUUUCUCUCCGAAACGCUAAAUAUUCUCUCCCGCAGGAGCUCAUAUCCUUAUUUUCCAUGAUAGAUCUUAACGACAGUAUAUGCAAAAGAUAUAUAAAGAUGAUAACUAAUAUAGUUAUAUUGAGCCUGAUCAUUUGCAUUUCGUUAGCUUUCUGGAUUAUGUCAAUGACUGCAAGCACCUAUUAUGGUAACUUACGGCCUAUUUCUCCGUGGCGUUGGCUGUUUUCUGUUGUUGUUCCUGUUCUGAUUGUCUCUAAUGGCCUUAAAAAGAAAAGCCUAGAUCACAGUGGGGCUCUAGGAGGGCUAGUGGUUGGAUUUAUCCUAACCAUUGCAAAUUUCAGCUUUUUUACCUCUUUGCUGAUGUUUUUCUUGUCUUCUUCGAAACUCACUAAAUGGAAGGGAGAAAUCAAGAAGCGUCUAGAUUCAGAAUAUAAGGAAGGUGGGCAAAGGAAUUGGGUUCAGGUGUUCUGUAAUGGAGCUGUACCCACAGAACUGGCCCUGCUAUACAUGAUAGAAAAUGGCCCCGGGGAAAUCCCAGUCGAUUUUUCCAAGCAGUACUCCGCUUCCUGGAUGUGUUUGUCUCUCUUGGCUGCACUGGCCUGCUCUGCUGGAGACACAUGGGCUUCAGAAGUUGGCCCAGUUCUGAGUAAAAGUCCUCCGAGACUGAUAACAACCUGGGAGAAAGUUCCAGUUGGUACCAAUGGAGGAGUUACAGUGGUGGGCCUUGUCUCCAGUCUCCUUGGUGGUAGCUUUGUGGGCAUUGCAUACUUCCUCACACAGCUGAUUUUUGUGAAUGAUUUAGACAUUUCUGCCCCCCAGUGGCCAAUUAUUGCAUUUGGUGGUUUAGCUGGAUUACUAGGAUCAAUUGUGGACUCAUACUUAGGGGCUACAAUGCAGUAUACUGGGUUGGAUGAAAGCACUGGCAUGGUGGUCAACAGCCCAACAAAUGAGGCAAAGCACAUAGCAGGGAAACCCAUUCUUGAUAACAACGCAGUGAAUCUGUUUUCUUCUGUUCUUAUUGCCCUCUUGCUCCCAACUGCUGCUUGGGGUUUUUGGCCCAGGGGGUGAACUUUAUUUCAUUUCCACAGGUUGAAACUGGAUCAUGGAAGCAGAGGCCUAGAAGCAUGGGACCUUUGUGAGGUUUUCCCAAGCUGGGGACACUAUGACAUAGUGUUGGAUUUGCCAUCCUGGACCUUACUCUGUCACUGACCGGAGUGACUCCCUUGUCCUGCUAGUGGUCAACUAUGCUGGCAAUCCUAACACAAUGGAUUCUAGGCUUCUUUUGUCUUCCUCUGCCUAUCCUGGGAGUCCCCCUUUGGGAUUGGUUAUUAGUGAACCUGCUUCACAAUAGAAAUAUGAACAUCAAAGGAGAUUCUCUUCCAGAGAAGAAAAGAGGAGAGCUGGAGAGAAGGCUUCCAUCUUCUCAGAUAAAAUAUAAAUAAUCAUGAGCAGAAUAUUGGCAGAAAUAUGGUGUUAAAGGCCAUUCUGGUUGAGAUCUCAGAUGAAAAUGAGGAACAUGUUAUUGGAAACUGGGGAAAGGUGAUUCUUGUUAUGAAGUGCCAAAGAACUUGGCCAAACUAUGUUCUACUGUUUUGUGGAAGAAAAACUUGCCAGCAAUGAAACUGGAAUCUUUAGCUGAGGAGAUUUCUAAGUAAAGUCUUGAAGAUGUGGCUUGUUUCCUCCUGAGUACUAUAGUAAAAUGCGAGAGGAAAGAGAUGAAUUACAAAGGGAAUUUUUAAACAAAAGAAACAAAAAGAUUUGAAAAAUUCUCAACCAUCCAUAUUGAAAAAAAAAUCAAACUUUGUUCUAAAGGGAACAUCAAAGAUGUGGCUUGAUAAAGAGUUUAUGGGAUUCUAUUAGCAGAAACAUUGCCAAUUGGAACUGAAGGGAAUGGAGAUGGGAUAAAAUAAAGGCUGCCAAAUUUUUGGAAUUCUACAGGACAAGAUCAUAGCGCCAUUUGGCUGCAAAUGCUUGCUCUUCUUCAAGAAAAUGGGAGAAUAACCCAAAGGUGAUUUCAGUGAUCACCAGGGCUGCCACUCCCACCACAGGUCCAGGAGGGAAGGAUGUUUCCUACUGGGUUUCAGAAAGUGGGGUACUUACAGAGAGCCACGUGGAAGGGGCCCUGGCAGAAAGCCAUAGGGGCAGGGCCCUGGGAGACCCCAAGGGAUAUGACCACCCCACAGAGCCAUGGGGGUGACACUGUCACCCCAUGGGUCCAGAAGAUGGGACCAUCACUUCAGUGGAUCUGGAAGAUGGAGCAUCAAACAAAAGAGGAUUAUUCUUUUUUUUUAUUAUUUCAACUUUUAUUUUAGAUUCGGGGGGUACAUGUGCAGGUUACAUGGGUUUAUUGUGUGAUGCUUAGUUUGGGGAUAUGAUUAUUUCCAUCACUGAGGUAGUAAGCAUAGUAACCAACAGUUAGUUUUUCAACCCUUGUCCCCUCCUACCCUCCUUUGUCUAGUUUUCCAUGUGUAUUGUUGCCAUCUUUAUGUCCAUGAGUACUCAAUAUUUAGUUUCCAUUUAUAAGUGAUAGCAUGCAACAUUUGUUUUUCUGUUUCUGCAUUAAUUAGCUCAGAAAAAUGACCUCUAGCUGUAUCCAUGUUGCUGCAAAGGACAUAAUUUCGUUCUUUUUUAUGGUUGCAUGGUUCCACAGUUUUCCAUGGUAUAUAUGUACCACAUUUUAUUUAGAGUAUAAUUCUUUAGCCUUAAGGUCUAAUGGAAUUUGCCUUGCUAGGUUUUGGACUUGUUUGAGACCUAUUACCAUUCUUACUUUCCAAUUUCUGUCUUUUGGAAUGGGAAUGUCUAUCCUGUGCCUGGCCUAUCAUUGCAUUUUGGAAACUUGUCUGGUUUCACAAGUUUACAGUGGGAAAGGAAUUUUGCCUCAGAAUGAAUCAUACCUCAAAUCUCACCUAUAUCUGAUUUAGAUGACGUUUAGAUGAGACUGAACUUUAAGACUUUAGAAAUCAUGCUGGAGUGAGUUAAGACCUUUGCAGCUGUUGGAAUGGACUGAACAUAUUCUGCAUGUAACAAGAGAAUGAAUGUUGGGGGUUAGAGGUGGAAUGCUAUGAACUGAUUUGUUUCCCCAAAAUCCGUAUGUUGAAGCCCUAACCCCUAACGUGACUAUAUUUGGAGACAGGGCCUAAAAGGAGGUAAUUAAGGUUAAAUGAGGUAAUAAGGGCAGAGACCUAAUCCAAUAGGGCUUGUGACUUAUUAAAAGAAGAGACACCAGAGCUGUCUGUCUCUACUAUGUGAGGACACAGUGAAAAGGUGGCCAUCUAUAAGCCAGGGCUCAGGUGAUCCUGCCACCUCAGCCUGCCAGGUAGCUGGGACUACAGGUACAUGCCACCAUGCCUGGCUAAAUUAUUAUUUUGGAGAUAGAGUCUCACUGUCACCCAGGCUGGAGUGCAGUGACAUGGUCACAGCUUACUGCAGCCUUGACCUCCCAGGCUCAAGCCAUCCUCCCACCUCAGCCUCCUGAGUAGCUGGGACUAGAGGUGCACACCACCACCCCUAGAUAACUUUUAAUUGUUUUGUAGAGACAUGGUCUCCCUAUAUUGCACAUAAUGGUCUUGAACUCCUGGGCUCAAGCAAUCCUCCCACCUUGGCCUUCCAAAGUACUGGGAUUAUAGGCAUGAGCCACCAUGCCCAGUGUGAAGAUGAUAAAAAAAAAUCUACCACUUGAAAAAGGAUCUGGUACCAGAGCCUUUGACAACUUUUAAAGAACAGAUAAUUUUUUUUUUAAGGUAUUACUUAGAUUGUAACACUUCCCAAUUUAUUUUAGGAUGUCAGAAUAAAUUGAAAAUCCAUUUUCUAAAUAAAAGUAAAAACUGUAGUCUGGUAUUAAAAAAAAAACAUUCAAGCAAGAUUUGUUUCAGGAAUGCAAUAGUGUUUGAACAACAGGAAAUCUACCAACAUAAUCCGUUACUAUAACAAUUAAAAGAGAGAAAAAUAUAUGGUGAGAUCAACAAAUGCCAAAAUAUUUAUUUGACUAAAUUACUAGCUAUCUGUAUUAAGCCAUUCUUGCAUUGCUAUAAAGAAAUCCUGAGACUGGGAAAUCUAUAAAAAAAACAGGUUUAAUUGGCUCACAGUUCUGAAGACUGUACAGGACACAUAGUGCGGGCAUUUGCUUCUGGGGAGGCUUCAGGAAGCUUUGACUCAUGGCAGAAGGCAAAGCAGGAGCUUGCAUGUCACAUGGUGAAAACAGGCGCAAGAGAGGGAGUGGGUGGGGAGGUGUCACACACUCAAACAACCAGAUCUCCCAAGAACUCACGAUCCCCGAGGAUAGCACCAAGCCAUGAGGGAUCUGCCCCCGUGACCCAAACAUUUCCCCCCAAGGCCCCACCUCCAACAUGGGGGAUUAUAACCACCCCCAAUGACCCAAACAUUUCCCCCCAGGCCCCACCUCCAACAUGGGGGAUUAUAAUUCAGCGUGAGAUUUGGUGGGGACAUAUAUUCAAACUAGAUCACCAUUCUAACAAAAAUUCUAAGUGAAUAAAAAUAGGAGGAAACUACCUAAAUAUAACAAAGACCAUUUAGCAAACUACAGUGGCAAAUAGUUUUUUGAAUGGAAGGCCAAGUAAACAAUUUACGUUCAAAUUAGAAACUAGGCAUAGAAUCAUGUUGGCACCGUCUUUAUUUAACACCGUCUUAGAAGUUUUCAUGAAUACAAUAAGAUGAGAAAAUGAAAGAACUGGCAUAAAAAUUUAAAAAAAACAGUUUAAAUGAUUUCCUUCUGCUGAUGAUAUUAUAUACCUAGAAAACCUGAGACAGCCAGUAAAAUACUUGUAGAGUUAACAAGAUAAAUUGGUAAGGUGGCUACAUAUCAAAGCAAUAUACUAAAUUCAAUAGGUUUUUCAAUUUUCUGGCAAUAAGCACCUAGAAAUAAAAUAUUCUAGAGAAAAAAUAUUCCAUUCAUAAUAAUGGAAAAACUAUAUAAAGUGCUUCGGAAUAAAUUUUUAAAAAAACUAUGAAAAGAAAAAGAAAAUUUUAUUGACAGCCACAAUUUAAGAACAUUAGACCUGAGAAAGGGGAUGAUAAAUUAUAUGUUUCGAUGAGAAAACGUAACAAAAAUGGCAGUCUUUUCAAAAGUAAUAUAUUAAUAGUUGUCAUCCAGUUAUGUUUAUUUUAGAAAAGGAUAAAAAUAACUGUAACAUUUAUAUGAAAGGUGAAAUGCUACAGAAUAGCCAAAAAAUAUGAGAAAUAAGAACAAUGAGGGCCGGGCACAGUGGCUCAUGCCUGUAAUCCCAGCACUUUGGGAGGCCGAGGUGGGCAGAUCAUGAGGUCAGGAGACUCAGACCAUCCUGGCUAACAUGGUGAAACCCCGUCUUUACUAAAAAUACAAAAAAAUUAGCCAGCGUGGUGGCAGGUGCCUGCAGCCCCAGCUACUCAGGAGGCUGAGGCAGGAAAAUUGUUUGAACCUGGGAGGCGGAGGUUGCAGUGAGCUAAGAUCGCGCCACUGCACUCCAGCCUGGGCAACAGAGUGAGACUCCAUCUCAAAAAAAAAAAAAAAUUAAGUGGAAUUUGCCUUAUUAUAUUUUAAACAUUUGAAACAAAUACUAUAUCAAAUCAAUAUGAUAUUACAGUAGGAAAACACAAGAAAAGUCAAUAACCUAUACAGAGAAUGUCCCCCUCUCUAUAUAUGAAUUUAAUAUAUAAAAAAGAUUGGGCACAGUGUCUCACGCCUGUAAUCCCAGCACUUUGGGAGCCUGAGGUGGGCAGAUCACUUGAGGUCAGGAGUUCGAGACCAGCCUGGCCAACAUGGCAAAACGCUGUCUCUACUAAAAAUAAAAAAAUUAGCCAGGUGUGGUGGUAUGCGCCUGUAAUCCCAGCUACUCAGGAGCCUGAGGCGGAAGAAUCACUUGAACCUGGGAGGCGGAGGUUGCAGUGAGCUGAGAUGGCACCACUGAACUCCAGCAUGGGUGACAGAGCGAAACUCUGUCUCAAAAAAAAUGAUAAAAAUAUAUUAAAAAGAUGAUAGUUUAACUGGAGAGAGGGUGGAUUAUUUUUUAAAUGGCAUGGCACAACUGGUUGCCCAUCAGGAAGAAAAUAAAUUUAAACCAGCUAUUUACCAUAUUCAAAUAUAAAUUGUAGAUAGAAUAUGACUGAACUUUUUUUUCUAGAUAUUUCAAGAAAAUAGAGUACCAUAUUUACAAUUUAGGAGGGGAGAGACUUUCUUAACUACAAAUGAAAACUCUGAAACCAUGCAAGAAAUGGUAAACAUAUUUGAAUUUAAAGAAACAAAAAUAGGCCAGGGAUGGUGGCUCACACAUGUAAUUCUAGCACCUUGGGAGGCCAGCCUGGGCAACAGACUCAGUCUCUAAAAAAAUAUAUAAGAAAUUAGCCGAGCAUGCUGGCACAGCCUGUAGUCCCAGCUACUAGGGAGGCUGACAUGGGAAGAUUGCUUUUGCUCAGGAGGUUGAAACUGGUGAGCUGCGAUCACAUCAAUGCACUCCAGCCUGGAUGACAGAGUGACACUCUGUCUCAAAUAAAGAGAUAGAUAGAUAGAUAGAUAGAUAGAUAGAUAGAUAGAUAGAUAGACAGACAGACAGAUUAUAGAUAGAUAGAUGAUAGAUGACAAAAAUAAAAACAAAAAACAAAAAAAUCCCCUUAAUAGUCAAAAUUCCAAAUCGGCCAAUUUCUACAAUAUGCUACAUACAGUUGGCAAAAUCUACUGGAAUUUUGACUUUGUGUUUUAUCUAUGUAGCAAUUUUCAAAUAAUUGACAUCUUAACAAUAUUUCGUCUUUUAAUCAUAAACAUUGUAUGUCUCACUGUUUAAGUUUUUGUUGUCUCUCAGAAAUACCUAGUAGUUUUCAGUGAACAGGUUGUUCCAAGUGGAACAGGUCUAUGCAAACCUAUCCCCAAAGUCAGAGUGUUAUAAAUAAAGUUUCAGUGCCACAAAAGAAAUCGCACUCGAAUGUAAAAUUUUCUUUGUAAUUCACAGCAAGGCAAGGUACUUCUAUAGCAGGGUGCGCCCUUACAGAUGGAGGAAUGGUGAGCACACACUUGGACAAGGGAGGGGAAGGGUUCCUUAUCCCUGACGCACGUGGCCCCUGCGGCUAUGUUGUUCCCCUAUUGGCUAGGGUUAGACCGCACAGGUUAAACUAAUUCCAAUUGGCUAAUUUAAAGAGAGUGACGGGGUGAGUGGUUUGGUGGGAAAAAUGGUUAUGACAGAAUGAGUCAGGGUGGAGCAGGUGAUCGGAAUGAGUCAGGGUGGAGCAGGUAAUUGAAAAAUAUUGCUUUAUCAGGAAGUUACGUUUAAAAGUAGAAGGCAGAGAAUUGAACAUACUGACAUAUUGAUUCUUUGAAAAGAAAUUUAGAACUUAUAUCUAACAAGAGGAAGCUAAGAGGCCAAAGAAAGAGGCUGAUGUAUCCGGUUUUUCAGAAAGAAACAUUUAAUAAAGACUUAUGAACAGAAGCCAUGUCCAUGUCUUGGGCGGUAGGGAGACAACAGUGUCUGGCACCAUUACUCUCAAGACCCAGGACUUACAUACCAUAGGAAAAGCAUGACUCAGAAGGAUGUGUGGGACAACUGAAGUAUGAUAACAUUGUUAUGGAAUUGCUGGGAAGGGAAGAGCAUGGUACUUUAAAUGAUGAAGGCAGGAAGGGAGGAAGGAAAGUUCUGGGUAGAGUAGGGCAAGGUCCCUGACUAGGGCUCCACCCCCAUGGACCUAGCUAAGGACAGGGCUUGGAGCCCUGCCUUAGAGCCCAAAUGUUGCAUUUCCCAAGUCCAUCUUGGCCCACCAUGCCUCCAAUCCUGUGGCUAUAAAAACCCGAGACCCUAGCAGGCACACCCACAAGCUGCUGGAGGUGG